ensembl:lncRNA
ACUCACAUCUAAUCCACAACAGUGCUUUACUAGUCAGCCCUCGGGUCCUUAGUUUCCUUAGUAGCCUCUUGUUAGGGACUUUGUCCAAAGCCUUUCUGCAUGUCUAUAUGAAUUAUGUCAACCAGUUCUCCCUUAUUCACCAGUCUGUUGACCUGUUCCCAAGAGUCUGUUAUAGAGAUGUGAAUUUCCUUUACAGAAACCGCCUUGGCUCAUCUGUAUCAUAUCAAGUAGUUGUUACAGAUUUCUAUUUUAAAUAAUCUCUUCAUUCAGCCUGCCCAGCGCUUAAUUAAGCCUUGCUGAUUUGCAAUAUGCAGGAUGAACAUUUCCAAAGAGGCAGCCUUGGAGGCUUCCCAUAGAGCAGCUGAUUUGAGCAGGAUUAUCACUUUUUUGUCAGUUGCUCGGCCACGUCUUUCUCACUGCAGGUAUGUGCAUUUUGCUCCUUGUAACUCCUUGUUCCUUUACUGUUUGGUAUUAGAGCAGCAGAUCGGAGCCAUAAACCAGGCCUCCACGUUGCUGAAUGCUGCACAAAAGCAAAUGAAGGCUGCUGUCCAUCUCACACCUCCAUCCCACCUCUGUGCUCCGUUUCCAUCACUGCAUCAUGUCUUCCCCUUCCACCCUGUCAUAAGAGUAGAGGCAGGAAAAAAAGAAAUUGUUCCUAAGGCGGAGCAAGCGGAAACCAAUACAAUUAAAUACUUUGCUUUGCCUGCCAAGGACAUUUGACUGCUACUGUGCUACAUCAGGGAGGAGGUGCUGGGGGUGCUCUGCAUUGUCAUCUGGAGAAUGUCAGCGUGUAGAAAAGCUCUCCCCAGAUUGGGAUGCUGGAUACGAGGCAGCCACAGUUGGAGAUGCCCAGACAGCUCUUUGAGUCUAUCACUGCGAGAUGCUUCCUUUGCACCUCGGACUACUUCUGUGGCUCUUUACAAGGACAACGUUCAUAUCAGAAUUCCAUGCAGUGCUGACUCCCGUCCUGGCUUUGCAUAAGGGUGGAAAUACCCUUCCUGGUGCUAUGUGCUGCCUUAGAGGACAGCAGGGGACCUCCAGCCAAACCCCCAUGUGACGGCCUGUUUUGAAGCAUUAUCCAGCAUGACCCCUCUGGCCUUCUCAAGGUCCUUUCCAGGAUUUUGCACUCCUGAUUCCCAUGUAAGGUUGCAUUCUACUGACUUCUCUAUGCCGUGGAGCAAGCUCAUUGUCCCUGACCAUGGAUAUAUUAGUAUGGGUGGAGUGCAUUGUACUCCGAUGAUACUUCUAUGCUAGCAAAUGCCUUUUUAAUACCAAUGUAAGUACUUACCACAGCUCUAGACCUUCCUGUUGUGGCAAAUAAUCUCCAUUUCUUAGGACUGCAUCUCUGUUGGAUCUCACUUUCCCCUGGCAUUUCCCUUUCCAUAGUCACACUGUGCCCCUUGUGGUGUGCUGUUUGGGAAUCUUCUGAGAAAAGGUGCUAUAUAAAUGCAAAACAUUGUCAUUGUUUGUCGUGGCACCCCCUGUUGUAUCUGCUUUCCUUCUGCUAAUUGAUUAGCUGUUGUCUAGACUGGAGCUCAUUACAUGGAGUGCUGAGGCUCAGCAUCAUUUACUUUGCAGCUAAGUCAAUCUGUGAAACAAGUGGUAGGC